CGCUGGCGGCGUGCUUAACACAUGCAAGUCGAACGAUGAUGCCCACUUGUGGGUGGAUUAGUGGCGAACGGGUGAGUAACACGUGAGUAACCUGCCCUUGACUCUGGGAUAAGCCUGGGAAACUGGGUCUAAUACCGGAUAUGACCUUCCAUCGCAUGGUGGUUGGUGGAAAGCUUUUGUGGUUUUGGAUGGACUCGCGGCCUAUCAGCUUGUUGGUGGGGUAAUGGCCUACCAAGGCGACGACGGGUAGCCGGCCUGAGAGGGUGACCGGCCACACUGGGACUGAGACACGGCCCAGACUCCUACGGGAGGCAGCAGUGGGGAAUAUUGCACAAUGGGCGCAAGCCUGAUGCAGCGACGCCGCGUGAGGGAUGACGGCCUUCGGGUUGUAAACCUCUUUCAGUAGGGAAGAAGCGUAAGUGACGGUACCUGCAGAAGAAGCGCCGGCUAACUACGUGCCAGCAGCCGCGGUAAUACGUAGGGCGCAAGCGUUAUCCGGAAUUAUUGGGCGUAAAGAGCUCGUAGGCGGUUUGUCGCGUCUGCCGUGAAAGUCCGGGGCUCAACUCCGGAUCUGCGGUGGGUACGGGCAGACUAGAGUGAUGUAGGGGAGACUGGAAUUCCUGGUGUAGCGGUGAAAUGCGCAGAUAUCAGGAGGAACACCGAUGG
rnacentral:rRNA from 1 species